rnacentral:lncRNA from 1 species
AGCAGGGUCUGAACGCUCUUUGGGUCAUGCCGAUGCACCCGGGGUCAGGUCUCCUAGUUUCUAGCUUGGGUCUCCCAGGAUGUGAAGUGGGUGUUGAACCCUUGGAAACAAACACAGGGAUGAUCUCCUAUCCGCAAGGCCACAGACUCAACCUGUCGGAUGGUAAGGGCAUGCCUGGGAAAGGCAGAGGGAGGUGGAGGCCACAGUGGACCGAGAGCAUGUCUGGGAGACACUGGGCCUGAGUGAGUGCUUGCCUCUCACUCUGAGAAGUGUCUUGGCAGGAUCAGACAAAGUGCAGCCCCCAGGGCUAGCUGGGGCCCUUCUCUGCACUGCUGGCAGGAGCACAGGGGCCGUCCAGCCCCCAGGGCUAGCUGGGGCCCUUCUCUGCACUGCUGGCAGGAGCACAGGGGCCGUCUGCUGAGCCGCUGUUCUCCAGCAGGGAGUUUGGAGCUGCUGUCUUCCCUUCUACUCAGAAAAUGCUGGUGGGCAUCCGGCCACGGGAAGCAGCCAUGGGAAGGGCCUUGGUGGGAUCCCUGGCAGGGCGGGAAGGGUCACCAGAUCCAGAGACAAAAGCAAACCCCAAGAGUCAGCCAAACAACACACACAGACCCCCCCACCAACAGACACCCAGUUAAAUUUGAAUUUUCAAGUGAAAAUUUCAACAAAAGCCGUGCAACAUCUGAGGUUGUACUUACGUUGUUCAUAAGAGCCUGGAACUCACGUGCCUUGUUCCAACCCAGGAGGGCGUCCUGGGUUUCACCUGGAGCCUAUCUGAGCAGGACUUUACUUUCUUCAAGUGCGGCCCAUGAAGCCAUGUUCUCACGCUGUCCCUGAGGGGGCAGAAGAGCUGUUGUUCUCUCUGUCUCUCCUGCUCACCAGGAAAUGGUUGAGGAGCUGGGCCCCAGGCCCCGGCUUGGUGAGGCAGGGAGCAGCCAGGGCUCAGCUUUCUUCUGCUGACUUUGCUCCUGCCUCUGGAGGUAAGGGGGAAGCACACCUAAGCACCGUCUCUGCUGAAUGAGCAGGGCCUGAGCGCCACCUGAUUACAGCUCCUGACAGGGAGUGUGAGUUGAGCUGACCACAGUGCUGGGGGACAGCUGGAGGGAAAGCUGCUCACCCCUGCCUGGAGGGGCACUCCAGGGCCUCCAGGGCCUCCGCUGCAGCCACUUAGAGCAGCAGAGGCCAGCAGACACC